GGGUACUUGGAGCGGAUCUCUUCGGAGUGAAGCACCUUGCUACCUAGUGGCGGACGGGUGAGUAACGCAUAGGAAAUCUGCCCUUUGGUUUGGGAUACCCCCGAGAAAUCGGGAACAAUACCGAAUAUGAUUCCGAGGUGAAAUUCCUAGGAAUGAAAGCUGCGAGCAAUCGUGGCGCCUUAGGAUGUGCCUGUGUCCUAUCAGCUUGUUGGUGAGGUAAUGGCUCACCAAGGCCAAGACGGGUAGCCGGACUGAGAGGUCGAUCGGCCACACUGGAACUGAGACACGGUCCAGACUCCUACGGGAGGCAGCAGUGGGGAAUUUUGCGCAAUGGGCGAAAGCCUGACGCAGCGACGCCGCGUGGAGGAAGAAGGCCUUCGGGUUGUAAACUCCUUUAGUAGGGGAAGAAGCCGCGAGCAAUCGUGGUGACGGUACCCUAAGAAUAAGCCACGGCUAACUCUGUGCCAGCAGCCGCGGUAAGACAGAGGUGGCAAGCGUUGUUCGGAUUUACUGGGCUUAAAGCGCGCGUAGGCGUCCUGAUAAGUCAGAUGUGGAAGCCUUGGGCUUAACCCAAGAAUUGCAUUUGAUACUGUCGGGAUUGAGUCAUGCAUAGGAGGGCGGAAUUCCUGGUGUAGCGGUGAAAUGCGUAGAUAUCAGGAGGAAGGCCGGAGGCGAAGGCGGCCCUCUGGGCAAUGACUGACGCUGAGGUGCGAAAGCGUGGGUAGCAAACAGGAUUAGAUACCCUGGUAGUCCACGCCCUAAACGGUGGGUACUAGGUGUGGGUGGCGAUAGUCAUUCGUGCCGAAAGGGAAACCAUUAAGUACCCCGCCUGGGGGAGUACGGUCGCAAGAUUAAAGCUCAAAGGAAUUGACGGGGGCCCGCACAAGAGGUGGAGCAUGUGGUUUAAUUCGACGCUACGC
rnacentral:rRNA from 1 species